rfam:Camelus ferus unplaced genomic scaffold scaffold1144, whole genome shotgun sequence.
AAGGGUAUAGCUCAAGUGGUAGAGCGCAUGCUCGGCACCCAAGAGGUCCUGGGUUCAAUCCCCAGUACCUCCU